rnacentral:lncRNA from 1 species
GUGUGUGCUUUCAUUGGUGAUGCCAUUUCUCUUUGCUUUCUCUUCUUUUCUUGGGAAGACUUCUCUGUCUACAUUUGUAUAUUUAUUUGGCUGACUUUCCCUGAAUUUGCUGCCUGACUGAGUAAUUUAUUUCAAAAUAACUACAUGGCAAGCUGUUUUAUGCUGUUUAACUAAAUCCAUUGAUUGAAGCAUUUUCUGACACCUGGCCGUCCACAUGGAGAUUUCUCUUUUCCAGUCUUCCUAGUCUGGAAAAGACGUCACCAUCCACAGGAAGUGUUUGUCAUUGUACCCAAUCUGGUCUCAGUAGCACCAUUUACAUACCAAUAGUGUAAAUCUCUGUGUUUCUUAUAGACACAUGAUAUGGUUUGGAUUUGUGUCCCCGCCCAAAUCUCAUAUCGAAUUGGAGAAGCCUGGUGGGAGGUAACUGGAUCAUGGAGGCAGAUUUCCUCCUUGCUGUUCUCAUGACAGUGAGUGAGUUCUCAUGAGAUCUGAUGGUUGAAAAUUGUGUGACCUUCCCCCUUCACUCUCUCUCUUUCUCCUGCCACCAUGUGAAGAAGGUGCUUGCUUCCCCUUGGUGUUCUGCCAUAAAUUUUAUCAUUUCUGGAUUGCUGUCUGUCAUUUUGGGAAGAAAAUCAAACAAGCAUCUGCCCUGCUCAGUCCUGGGUGGAGAAGCUACCAGAACCACAUCUCCUGUCUGUCCCACCAUAAGUCUCUGCUUCAUUCACGCUUUCAUGUGUCGUGCAUCAAGCAAGCAUUUGCCUGUAGGCUUGGGGAGCUCUGAGAGGGGUUGAGAGUGAACAAAAUUAAUCAAAUCGUAUAACAGAAGAGGAAGUCCCAUCCUGCCGAGGAUCCUGGAUGUGAGAACCUGCUGCUGGCCUGGUGGGAUCGUGGUGCCCCAGGAGCAUGAACUGCUCAGGAGCAGACCCUGACCAGAUCCCCUGCAGGCCUGGAACAGCCUGAUCAGCAGCCUCCUAAGCCCCAUGGCUGCCACAGUGGGCCUCAUUGUCCUUCCCUAUCACCUAGCCGGGGUGUUCCCAGCUGCCAGACAGUGCCAACUGGUGGUGCCUGCCCAUCAGUGCCCCAAGACAGCCACUACUUUUCGAAGAAUGAGACCACCAGCUGCUUUGUGGCCAGCUCCAGCUUACUGAAUGUGUUUCCUGACCCAAAGUGACACAGUGAUCACCAGCAUGCCCCAGGCAGCAUUUGCUGACACCGUCCUGGAGAUGAACAAGGAGUGCACCCUUAGUGUGGGGGCAGAGAGAGAGAGAGCACAUUGUCUGCAGGAGUCAGCUGAAUGAUCUCACAGACCCCACCUGCUGGGCUCUUCCAUUUUAUCACAAUUAUUCCGCCUGUUCACGUGCAGAGAGAACACUUGGGGCAGAUUUUAAGACCUUAGAGAGUAACUUGUUUACAAAUAAAAUAUCUCUUUGAUGAUGUAUUUGGAUUCCAUGUCAUUUUGCCACAUUUCUC